UGAGAGAACAUUUGAAAAGAUGGAAAAGAUGUUGGUCCAGAAAUUAUCGUGCGCCGUCAAGGAAUGCAAUAAAAAUAUUGUGGAAAAUCAACACUUAUUUCCAUUUCCAAUGAAACAUAACAGAUGGUUGCAAUGGACACGUGCAUGUGGAAGAUCGGAUUUGGAAGAAAUGGGUUUAGAAUACCCAUAAUCGCAAUUAUCGAGUAUGCCACUUAUAUUUUGAAGAAAAGUGGUACAAUAUCCAUACUACAGCUUAUCUUCGUAAAGAUGCACUACCAACAAAGUUUUUUAAAAGAAAUGACUUACGGCCAAAAUCAUUCUCGUCUAAAGUGCAGAUGCCAA